rnacentral:rRNA from 1 species
CAGACGUGCACGGGAUUUAUUCCUAUUUCAGGCCAACAUCGGUUUUACGAGUCGGAUAAAGGUACAAGGAAGGUAGCAAUGUCGGCUGCCUUUUCGCGCUUAGGAUGUUGGUGAAAUGGCUUUAAUCGACCCGUCUUGAAACACGGACCAAGGAGUCUAACAUAUGUGCGAGUGUU